UGGGGGCUUUGAUGUUCAUCUCUGGCAUCUUGAAUUUAGGGCCCUUCAGUUUCGCAUCUGGACCUUCAAUAUUCACAUCUGGAACAUCAACGUCCACCUUGGGUCCUGAGACGUCAAGGUCAGCCUUGGGCAGGUUCACAUCCACAUCUGGGCCCUCUCCUUUGAAGCCAGGCAUGCUGAACUUGGGCAUUUUCACCUUGGGCAUCUUCAGGUGCCAGUCUGGGCCAUGAACAUCCACAUCUGGGGCAUCAAUGUCCAUUUUGGGUCCUUUGAUGUCAACAUCUGGCACUUUCAUUUCACCUUCUACCUUGGGCACAGACACAUCCAUAUCCCCUUUGACUUUGGGGCCUUUCAGGUGUAAGUCCACAUCAGGCAUGGAGAUCUUGGGGGCCUUGAAGUGCAUCUCAGGCAUCUUAAACUUGGGCCCUUUCAACUUUGCAUCAGGACACUCCA
rnacentral:lncRNA from 1 species